CUAAAUCAACAUUUUAAUCAUUUUUACUUCAAACAUUUACUGGACUGAUUUAAAUAUUAAAAUCCCUCCUUUCUAAUCCUCUGCUGUACGUUCAAACCUGAGGCCUUAAAUAGAAACACACAAGUAUCUGAUUGAAGGAACUUCUGCAGAGUCCUGGUUCCAGAACAUGAUGAUAGAAUUAUAGACAAACUUUAACAAAAGCUGCCUGAGAGUUUACAGGUUUUUAUGUUAGAUUUCUUCAGUAAUUUAAUGAGAGUCAUCAGCAAAAAUCAAGUGUUCAUUUGAUGAACUUCAUUUCCUAAAACAUCCAGAAUUGGAGCUCAUAUCUUUGCAGCUGUAAAGUUUCUGCUCCUUCAAAAUUCACAACACAAUGAAUGAAUUCCUAAAACACUCUCAAUGCUGGAGAGCGUUUGUGAUGCUGAAGCAGUGAGCAGGUUUUCUGUUUCUUCUCUGGAGAUGCACAAUGAGGGACGUCUGCAGAGACUGAGAAAGAGUCUCACCACAUCCUGACAUGAGGAGAAAGACUUUAUUGAAGACUACAAUGAGAAAAACUAUCAGACAGCAGACGGCUGCAUUCAAGUCUGUAGCUGCUGAAUUCAUGGAUGAAUCAUCUGGCACUAGAGAGGAAGACCAUCAAACAUCCACGUCAGCUGAUAGAGGUCCAAGAGUCUCACCCAACAAACAACCUCUGUAGGUUGUUUAAUAUUUUCAGCUGAACUAAAGACAGACUUUGUGAUUUUUCUGCUCACAUGUUGUGUUGUUGUAAACUUCCUCUUUCAAAUAAAUAGCCUCCUAACCCCCUGGAAACCAGCAUUUGUCCUGUUGUUGUGUUGCUCCUCGGUGACCCUAGACAGCCGGGUUGUAAUGUUUUUGGAGCAACACACCAUAUUAUGACGUUUUUACAAUGAUGGUUCUACUAUGGAACCAGUUUGACAUGUUCAGGUGUUCUUUGUGUGAAAACUCAGAGAUUUCAGGGAUCAGAAGGUGGUUUUCAACUUUCUUUGUUAACUUUCUGCUUCAACUUUAAACUAAAUUUCCUUCACUAAGCCAGCCCUCUGGACUUCCAGUAAGCUGUGUUCCUAUUGGCUGUCCAGGUGGCUGCUUGGUGUUAUCAGGAACACCUGAGCAGCUCAGUGUCUUCCUGCUUUAUUUAGCUGCAGACAAACAUUUCCUCUGUUUCUCUUCACCAGUGAACUGGGUUUGGUUCCAUUGCUUUAGUUUGUUCUUUAGGUGUUGGUUUGCAGCUUCCAGCAGUAAAAUCGUCUUUAAUGUGUUUCUUGGUGUGUUUUAGGGCUUUGUACUGGAUAGUUGUCUUGGUAAAUGAGGUUCUUUAGCCACAGUCAGCACAUGGUGUUAAUGUUGCAGUGAUUAGUGGAUUUGGUGCAGCUGAGUUGUGUCUUUAUCUUGGCUGUAGUGAGUCUUCAGAGGUUUUUGGUCAGACACAUUCUGUAUUCUUGUUUGAGAACCAGCGUUGGUUGUCCAGAAGGUAAGAGUUCCUGUCCUGAUUCUCUGUUCUCAGAGGUUCUCUGGUAGGCUGCAGGAGACUUUAGUGUUUGGGUUGUGCU
ensembl:lncRNA